UACGUAGGUGGCAAGCGUUGUCCGGAUUUAUUGGGUUUAAAGGGUGCGUAGGCGGCCCUAUAAGUCAGUGCUGAAAUAUCCCGGCUUAACCGGGAGGGUGGCAUUGAUACUGUAGGGCUUGAGUAAAGUUGAGGUUGGCGGAAUUGACGGUGUAGCGGUGAAAUGCUUAGAUAUCGUCAAGAACACCUAUUGCGAAGGCAGCUAACUAAGCUUUAACUGACGCUGAGGCACGAAAGUGUGGGGAGCGAACAGG
rnacentral:rRNA from 1 species